rnacentral:rRNA from 1 species
GACGAACGCUGGCGGCGUGCUUAACACAUGCAAGUCGAACGAUGAAGCCGGAGCUUGCUCUGGUGAAUUAGUGGCGAACGGGUGAGUAACACGUGAGUAACCUGCCCUUGACUCUGGGAUAACUGCUAGAAAUGGUAGCUAAUACCGGAUACGACCCUCGGAGGCAUCUCCAGGGGGUGGAAAGCAUUUCGGUCAAGGAUGGACUCGCGGCCUAGCAGCUAGUUGGUGGGGUAACGGCUCACCAAGGCGACGACGGGUAGCCGGCCUGAGAGGGUGACCGGCCACACUGGGACUGAGACACGGCCCAGACUCCUACGGGAGGCAGCAGUGGGGAAUAUUGCACAAUGGGCGCAAGCCUGAUGCAGCAACGCCGCGUGAGGGAUGACGGCCUUCGGGUUGUAAACCUCUUUUAGUAGGGAAGAAGCGAAAGUGACGGUACCUGCAGAAAAAGCACCGGCUAACUACGUGCCAGCAGCCGCCGUAA